GGCCAGGUGGUGGAAUUGGUAGACACGCUACUUUGAGGGGGUAGUGCCGGUGACGGCGUGUGGGUUCAAAUCCCGUUCUGGUCA
rnacentral:tRNA from 1 species